UUACCUGUUGAACUGGGGUGUGUC
rnacentral:piRNA from 1 species